AGGCGCACAACCAGUGGAGCAUGUGGUUCAAUUCGAUACAAAGCGAUGAACCUUACCUGGGUUUGAAAUGUACCUGCAAAUCCCGAGAAAUCGGGACAUCCUCGAGGUGGUACACAGCUGUUGCAUGGCUGUCGUCAGCUCGUGACGUGAGUUGUUCUCUUAAGUGAGGUAACGAGCGCAACCCCCGUUCUGUGUUAUUGUGUCACAGAAGACUGCCUAGCAUUAUUUUGUUAGGAGGAAGGAGGGGACGACGUCAAGUCAUCAUGAUGCUUAUAUCCAGGGCUACACACAUCCUACAAUGGGCUAUAACAGAGGGUUGCAAGACCGCAAGGUGGAGCUAAUCCCUAAACUAGCCCUCAGUUGGGAUUGCAGGCUGAAACUCGCCUGCAUGAACCCGGAAUUGGUAGUAAUCGCACAUCAGCAGCGUGCGGUGAAUACGUUCUCGCCUCUU
rnacentral:rRNA from 1 species